AUGCUUAACACAUGCAAGUCGAACGGAAACGAUGGAAGCUUGCUUCCAGGCGUCGAGUGGCGGACGGGUGAGUAAUGCUUGGGAAUCUGCCCAAUAGUGGGGGAAAACUCGGGGAAACCCGGGCUAAUACCGCAUAAGCUCUUCGGAGGAAAGGGGGCCUCUACAUGUAAGCUCUCGCUAAUGGAUGAGCCCAAGUCAGAUUAGCUUGUUGGUAAGGUAAUGGCUUACCAAGGCUACGAUCUGUAGCUGGUCUGAGAGGAUGAUCAGCCACACUGGGACUGAGACACGGCCCAGACUCCUACGGGAGGCAGCAGUGGGGAAUAUUGCACAAUGGGCGCAAGCCUGAUGCAGCAAUGCCGCGUGUGUGAAGAAGGCUCUAGGGUUGUAAAGCACUUUCAAUAGAGAAGAAAAGCUUGAAAUUAAUACUUUCAAGCCUUGACGUAAUCUAUACAAGAAGCACCGGCUAAUUCCGUGCCAGCAGCCGCGGUAAUACGGGAGGUGCGAGCGUUAAUCGGAAUUACUGGGCGUAAAGCGAGCGUAGGCUGUUAAUUAAGUCGAAUGUGAAAUCCCCGGGCUCAACCUGGGAACUGCAUUCGAAACUAUUUAACUAGAGUAUGGGAGAGGAAAGUAGAAUUUCCGGUGUAGCGGUGAAAUGCGUAGAUAUCGGAAGGAACACCAGUGG
rnacentral:rRNA from 1 species